rnacentral:rRNA from 2 species
AAAUUGAAGAGUUUGAUCAUGGCUCAGAUUGAACGCUGGCGGCAGGCCUAACACAUGCAAGUCGAACGGUAACAGGAAGCAGCUUGCUGCUUCGCUGACGAGUGGCGGACGGGUGAGUAAUGUCUGGGAAACUGCCUGAUGGAGGGGGAUAACUACUGGAAACGGUAGCUAAUACCGCAUAAUGUCGCAAGACCAAAGAGGGGGACCUUCGGGCCUCUUGCCAUCGGAUGUGCCCAGAUGGGAUUAGCUUGUUGGUGGGGUAAC